UUAAAAACUGAUACUUUCUCUAUUCUGUUCAUCUCUUUCGUCUUGCAAGUUUUGAAUCAACUGAGAGAUAGGACAUAGGAGUCAGACAAAUAGAAAUCCUUAUUAUUCAUAACAGCCGAAUUAAUGAAUAUUACUUGAGAUUUAUAGCCAGAGAGGGCUUGCCAGUAUCUCACCUGAUUUAAACCCUUCUUCUCUCCUCAAAACUAUAGGCUCCCCCUUGCAGAGGUAGGUCUUGAUCUGCUAAGCUAUCACUGGGGAGAAGAGGCCCAAAAGUUUGCAUCCUUCAGUCAAGCUGGCUCUGAAAGAGAAGGACCCAGCAAUGCUGAGCCGAAUAUACUCAGUUAUGUCUCCUAAAUUCGUCAAUUAGAUCAGUCACUUGUCACUUUUCUAAUGAGAGGAGUGAGUUGAGGGAGAGCCUGAAUACCUCGUCCAUGCUUUGCUCCCAGGGGAAUAGAGUAGAAAUGUCCUCUUCUAGAUGGAAACAUGAGGAGGAGGAGUAAGUGUCUUCUACACACAUUGUUAUCAUCUGUUACCCACUGAGUAAAGUCCAGCACAGCAGAAACUCAGGCUGCACCACCGGAGGUUGUCCACCGAACUCCGAGGAUGAGGAGAAAGGCCUUGCUCUUAUAUACCUCUCCCCGCUCCCUUGCACCCCCACCCCACCUUCACUUUUUAAAAAUUUGGCCGAGAGUUUGGUCCUCUUGUUUAAAAACAAAAGCAAAACAAAUCAUUUCCUUAAUACACAGUAGUCUGUCUUCUGCUUCAGGAAAUUGGACUUAUUAGUUGCUAAAGCCUCUUUCUAUUGAAAAUAUUUAGUGAUUCAUCGAUAUAUAGUGUUCAUAUAGGGAAAUCAUGAAGUUGCUCAAAAACUGAUUUUACUCCUUUCAGUCAGCCUUUCUUCUUUCGUUCCAGGGAACUAAGGCUGUUGAUUUUAAAUGGUAGCUUAUCAGGUACUUCAAAUCUCUUAAUGAUGUCAAUAGUAAAUUGGUCAAUCACUGUUGAAAUGAAUGAAAAGUAUCAAAAGAUUAUUUCAGUGCAUGAUAUUUUAUAAAUGUCACAAUUUCAGUGUUGGUUUACUUCUUUAGGCAACACUUUCUUGGGUAGGAAAAGAAAAGACUAAUUGAAUUUCACACACCUUGGUUGAACAUCUCUUGUGUGUAAGGCAGUGUGCCAAGUACUGUGGAAAAUAUGAAGAGAAGGAAAAAACAGGAACAUGUCCUACCCACCACAUAUGAACAAUUUCAUCCACAAGCAUUUAUAUUCUGGUUGAAAUAUGCUGAAGUAAAUCCCAAUACUGGAGGCCAAGGACGUAAUACAAGGUCCAAAACAAAACAGAACAAACCCUGAACUACUUGGAUAAAAAAAUUAUGGAAAAGAGACUUAAAUGCUACAGCUCUGUAUUCAAGUUGGUGGGAGGUGUCUUAGCACAGAUUGAACCACAGAAUCCACCAGUGUUAUCCAGCUGGACAGUAGCACAAAGCCCUGAGCGCUUGGGAGGGAACUUUGAAUAGCUCAGUCAGUCCUUCAGUUUGAAUAGAUAGUCUCGGGCAGAAGCUUCCCAGGCCUUGGACGAAUGUGGGAGGGACGGGCGGAUAUAUUGUGAAUAUCUUGUCUCUGAGCUUUAAAGUGAGAACAAUGGGCUUCUUAUCCAAACUGAAGUGAGACAACCGACCUAUUCCGAAUAGCCAAGCAACUGCCUAGCUUAAACCUGCACAUCUUAAUGCCAUAGGGAGUUUCCAUGGAUAGAAUCACUUUACACAAUAGUACACUGUCAUUUCUUGAUUUUUUCAAGUUUCUUUAAACAAAAUUAAUUAAAGUUUAUGAAAUUAAGGGUCACAUCAUCUCCCUGGUUAAAUAAGAGACGUAUGCCCUUCUGAAAAUGCCAGACAGGACUCUGGUCUGCCGCAAAGAAGACAUUAGAGGUGUAAAUAAAUGUCUUGUAGAAUUGAAGAGGUAACUGUUCCUGCACUCCAGUGAGUGGAACAUAAAAUUGAGAAGAAUUUUGAGUCACAAGAACUGAUUGGAAUUCAGCCUAGUGACAACAAUCAAAUUAAGGUUCACAUAGCUGCUAAUCUACGACUCUGAGUGGCUUGCUGAUCUAGUCCUAGAAACCGUGUCCUCUGUGACAAUUGUGAAAAUUAAGUAUCACUUUUAAUUCUUCUGAAAUGAAGGUAGUCCAACUAAGGCCAACGUUUUAUGCACUAACAGAUAAAAUGUAUCCCUAACAAAAUAUGCUUAUGUAGUCUUUUCAAAAACACUUUAUCAGUAAUAUAAAAGUGGUCUAUCUUUGAGAGUUCCCAUUAUAAUAAAAGUUUUUGAG
rnacentral:lncRNA from 1 species